rnacentral:rRNA from 1 species
UACGGAGGAUGCAAGCGUUAUCCGGAUUUAUUGGGUUUAAAGGGUGCGUAGGCGGAUAUGUAAGUCAGCGGUGAAACUCACAGGCUCAACCUGUGCCGUGCCGUUGAAACUGUGUAUCUGGAAUGCGGAUGCUGUGGGAGGAAUGUGCAGUGUAGCGGUGAAAUGCAUAGAUAUUACACAGAACACCGAUUGCGAAGGCAGCUUACUAAUCCAUCAUUGACGCUGAGGCACGAAAGCGUGGGGAU